GCCGGUCCUCGGUAGUGGCCGCCGGGGAGUGCCAGGCCGUCCAGGUGACGGUGCCGGCGACCCGGAGGCUUCGAUCGAAGACCGGC
rfam:Saccharothrix sp. ST-888 contig-140, whole genome shotgun sequence.